rnacentral:lncRNA from 1 species
CCUGACUGCCCGGGAGAAAACGUGUCCCGUGCCCUAAGCCUGUGGAACGAUGGCGGGAUCCUAGGGGCUCAGGGAGGCACUCCCGGGGUGGCAAAGGAAGAGGGGUGAGGGGCAGAAGGAACAGGAAUCUUUCAGGAGCUGAAAGAGAGCUGGGUGAGGUGGCUGGAGCUCCAAGGGCGAGAAGCCCGUCGGUCCAGGGCACCCUGGCGACAGGCUUGACCAGGCGACAAGACCGUCAGUGGCUUCAGAGCUGGUAGGACUUCCUGCUACUCCGGGGACAGUCAGCUUGGGGCGUCAGAGAGGCUUCAGGAAGAUGUAAGCGAAGACCUGGGGGUGAGAAGGGCCAGAGAGGAAUCUAAGCGGUGAGAGGCGUGGGGCUAGACUAGAGAGCGCGCAUUCUAGAAAUGGGGAGGGAGACCUCCUUAGAGGGAGAACGGACAGUUGGUGAGAGGCGUGGGGCUAGACUAGAGAGCGCGCAUUCUAGAAAUGGGGAGGGAGACCUCCUUAGAGGGAGAACGGACAGUUGGAGAGAGGCAGUGAGCUGCGGAGAUAAAGAAGAACUCAUAAACCCAGGAAAGGAGGUUGCUGAGAAGCCAUCACCGGGAUCUCAUCAGGAAAGUCUCCCCGGUUGGCUCUGUAGGACUGGGAAAGUGGCCCGGGAGGCAGGGAGCCCGCCCAGAGCUGGUUGAGAGAUCCAGGCAAGAGAGGACACGACCCGGAGCGGAGCAGUGGCUCUGAGUGUGGAGGGAAGUAACAAGUGAGAGUAGUAUUGGGUGGAAUCCACUGGAUCUUAUGACCAGUGGACUGCGGUGGACAAGCAAAGAGAAAUUACAAAUGUCACCGAAACUUUCGGUUUGGGCAGCUGGGUUGAUGGCAGUGGGAAUCACGCAAAGGGAGUUGUGGCAAGCUGGGAUAGGGAGAGGCUGGCUGCAGGGAAAGAAAAAAUAAGUUCCAGGUUGAACGUUUUCAGCUUGAGGUGUCCGUUUUUAGGUGUCUGUGGAGCACCCCAAGAGCAGCGGCCCCCUCCACUUCUUCACCCAUAUCCUCACUGGCUUUGUCUCUGUGCCAUGGGCUUGCUCUCACCCUAACCACCCAGGACCACACCCAUAUAAGGGUUCAACUUGCUGUGCAGCCUUAAAAAGAAGUGGUUAAAAAUAAACUUCCUAGGCCCUUUGCAUCAGGCUUCCUUGCUAAUUAUUCUUUGCUUAGCAAAGAUAAGAGCCUGCUUUGGGGAGUACUAUGAACAGGGCAGGUAGUGCAAGCUAUCUCCUAUUAUUUAGACAGUGCCUUUAAGCUCCGCUUUCCAUGAACUUUCAAAUCAUGUCAUUGUUUCAACAAAAAUACAUUCAGGACAUUUUCACCAACCUAUACCUCUUCUUCUCUGCCAUGCUCCCAUGCCAAAUAAAUACAUACAUUUUAAUACAUUUGUGUACAUGUGUUUAUAAAUAUGUGUAUGUGUAGAGGUUAUUGUGCUUGUGCUUAGUCAUUCAGUCGG